UACAGAGGGUGCAAGCGUUGUUCGGAUUCACUGGGCGUAAAGGGUGCGUAGGCGGUCGGGUAAGUCUGAUGUGAAAUCUCACAGCUUAACUGUGAAACUGCAUUGGAUACUAUUCGGCUUGAGAGUUGGAGGGGGGACUGGAAUUCUUGGUGUAGCAGUGAAAUGCGUAGAUAUCAAGAGGAACACCAGUGGCGAAGGCGAGUCCCUGGACAACUUCUGACGCUGAGGCACGAAAGCUAGGGGAGCAAACAGG
rnacentral:rRNA from 1 species